GGACCCGCACAAGUAGUGGAGCAUGUGGUUUAAUUCGAAGAUACGCGCAGAACCUUACCAACACUUGACAUGUUCGUCGCGACUUUAAGAGAUUAGAGUUUUCGGUUCGGCCGGACGAAACACAGGUGCUGCAUGGCUGUCGUCAGCUCGUGUCGUGAGAUGUUGGGUUAAGUCCCGCAACGAGCGCAACCCUCACUUUUAGUUGCCAUCAUUUAGUUGGGCACUCUGAAAGAACUGCCAGUGAUAAGCUGGAGGAAGGUGGGGAUGACGUCAAGUCCUCAUGGCCCUUACGUGUUGGGCUACACACGUGCUACAAUGGUAUCUACAACAGGAAGCAAGACUGCGAAGUCAAGCAAAUCCUUAAAAGAUACCUCAGUUCGGAUUGCACUCUGCAACUCGAGUGCAUGAAGCUGGAAUUACUAGUAAUCG
rnacentral:rRNA from 1 species